rnacentral:rRNA from 1 species
UACCAGCACCCCGAGUGGUCGGGACGAUUAUUGGGCCUAAAGCAUCCGUAGCCGGUUCUACAAGUCUUCCGUUAAAUCCACUUGCUUAACAGAUGGGCUGCGGAGGAUACUAUAGAGCUAGGAGGCGGGAGAGGCAAGCGGUACUUAGUGGGUAGGGGUAAAAUCCGUUGAUCCAUCGAAGACCACCAGUGGCGAAGGCGGCUUGCCAGAAUGCGCUCGACGGUGAGGGAUGAAAGCUGGGGGAGCAAACCGG